rnacentral:other from 1 species
AGAAACCUGCUGUGUACGUGAGGGGCUUUUAAAAACCCACAUCUAUCAUAAGGGAUGCCGAAAGCGUCCGCUGUGAAUUGCAGGCCUCCCGAGGCGGCUUUGACCGUUCUUGGACGUUGGAAGCAGAGAAACAGCGGAGAGGCGACCCACCUGCAAUCAAGUGCAGGUUCUUUCAAAGUCUCCACGGCAAUAGCGGGCUCGA